UCGCUUAUAAUUUCUACAGAUUCCAUUUAAAAGCAAGAAGUUAAGUUU
rnacentral:sRNA from 1 species